UAGUCUAACUAAGCAAAGUGAACUUUAGUUNAACCCCCCGAAACUAGGUGAGCUACUUCGAAAUAGCCUUCAGGGCUAACCCGUCUCUGUUGCAAAAGAGUGGGAAAAUUUCCAAGUAGAGGUGAUAAACCUACCGCACCAAGAGAUAGCUGGUUACUCAAGAAAAGAAUAUUAGUUCUACCUCAAGUUUUUUAAGUCUUAAUAAACCUCAACUAAACUUAAGAGCUAUUCAAAUAGGGCACAGCUUAUUUGAAAAAGGAUACAACCUACUAUAUUGGGUAAUCAAUUAAGAAAAACUGUUAAGUGGGCCUAAAAGCAGCCACCUUCAAAAAAGCGUUAAAGCUUUACUUUUAUUCUUUAAAAAUAACUUUAUUAUUACAUAACCCAUCAACAAUAUUGAGUAAUUCCAUAAAAAUAUGGAAGAUAUAAUGCUAGAACUAGUAAUAAGAAGUAGAACUUCUCCAAAAUGUAAGCCUAAGCCACCUUAGACACCCUACUGGCAAUUAACGUUUAUGAGUCCACUUUAUUAACACCACAAGAAAACCUUUAAAUACCACACGUUAACCUUACACUAGAACAUUUAUGGAAAGAU
rnacentral:rRNA from 1 species